CGCUGGCGGCGUGCCUAACACAUGCAAGUCGUGCGAGAAAGUUCCUUCGGGAGCGAGUAAAGCGGCGCACGGGUGAGUAACACGUAGGUAACCUGCCCCCCAGUCUGGAACAACUAGAGGAAACUCUAGCUAAUGCCGGAUGAGACCACGAUCCCUUCGGGGGUUGCGGCCAAAGAUGGCCUCUACUUGUAAGCUAUCGCUGAGGGAUGGGCCUGCGGGCCAUUAGCUUGUUGGUGAGGUAACGGCUCACCAAGGCUGUGAUGGCUAGCUGGUCUGAGAGGAUGACCAGCCACACUGGGACUGAGACACGGCCCAGACUCCUACGGGAGGCAGCAGUGGGGAAUAUUGCGCAAUGGGCGGAAGCCUGACGCAGCGACGCCGCGUGGGUGAUGAAGGCCUUCGGGUCGUAAAGCCCUGUCGCAGGGGAAGAAUAAGCAUCGGUAUAAUACGCCGGUGCCCUGACGGUACCCUGCAAGAAAGCACCGGCUAACUCCGUG
rnacentral:rRNA from 1 species